GGGCCAUAGCUCAGUGGCAGUGCAUCUGCUUGGCAUGCAGAAAGUCCCAUGUCCAAUCCCUGGCAUCUCCA
rnacentral:tRNA from 1 species